AUUGAACGCUGGCGGAAUGCUUUACACAUGCAAGUCGAACGGUAGCACGGGGGCAACCCUGGUUUUGAGUGGCGAACGGGUGAGUAAUACAUCGGAACGUGCCCGGUCGUGGGGGAGAACGUAGCCAAAUGGACGCUAAUACCGCAUACGAUCUGAGGAUGAAAGCGGGGGACCUUCGGGCUUCGCGCGAUCGCCGCCGCCGAUGUCAGAUUAGGUAGUUGGUGGGGUAAAGGCCUACCAAGCCGACGAUCUGUAGCUGGUCUGAGAGGACGACCAGCCACACUGGGACUGAGACACGGCCCAGACUCCUACGGGAGGCAGCAGUGGGGAAUUUUGGACAAUGGGCGCAAGCCUGAUCCAGCCAUUCCGCGUGCAGGACGAAGGCCUUCGGGUUGUAAACUGCUUUUGUAUGGAACGAAAAGGCUCUGGCUAAUACCUGGGGCUCAUGACGGUACCGUAAGAAUAAGCACCGGCUAACUACGUG
rnacentral:rRNA from 1 species